GCGGCGGACGGGUGAGUAACACGUGGGCAACCUGCCUGUAAGACUGGGAUAACUCCGGGAAACCGGAGCUAAUACCGGAUAGUAUCUUGAACCGCAUGGUUCAAGUUGGAAAGACGGUUUCGGCUGUCACUUACAGAUGGGCCCGCGGCGCAUUAGCUAGUUGGUGAGGUAAUGGCUCACCAAGGCAACGAUGCGUAGCCGACCUGAGAGGGUGAUCGGCCACACUGGGACUGAGACACGGCCCAGACUCCUACGGGAGGCAGCAGUAGGGAAUCUUCCGCAAUGGACGAAAGUCUGACGGAGCAACGCCGCGUGAGUGAUGAAGGUUUUCGGAUCGUAAAACUCUGUUGUUAGGGAAGAACAAGUGCGAGAGUAACUGCUCGCACCUUGACGGUACCUAACCAGAAAGCCACGGCUAACUACGUGCCAGCAGCCGCGGUAAUACGUAGGUGGCAAGCGUUGUCCGGAAUUAUUGGGCGUAAAGCGCGCGCAGGCGGUUUCUUAAGUCUGAUGUGAAAGCCCCCGGCUCAACCGGGGAGGGUCAUUGGAAACUGGGAAACUUGAGUGCAGAAGAGGAGAGUGGAAUUCCACGUGUAGCGG
rnacentral:rRNA from 2 species